GGCGGGACACGUGGUAUCCUGUCUGAAUAUGGGGGGACCAUCCUCCAAGGCUAAAUACUCCUGACUGACCGAUAGUGAACCAGUACCGUGAGGGAAAGGCGAAAAGAACCCCGGCGAGGGGAGUGAAAAAGAACCUGAAACCGUGUACGUACAAGCAGUGGGAGCACCCUUUGGGGUGUGACUGCGUACCUUUUGUAUAAUGGGUCAGCGACUUAUAUUCUGUAGCAAGGUUAACCGAAUAGGGGAGCCGGAGGGAAACCGAGUCUUAAUUGGGCGUUAAGUUGCAGGGUAUAGACCCGAAACCCGGUGAUCUAGCCAUGGGCAGGUUGAAGGUUGGGUAACACUAACUGGAGGACCGAACCGACUAAUGUUGAAAAAUUAGCGGAUGACCUGUGGCUGGGGGUGAAAGGCCAAUCAAACCGGGAGAUAGCUGGUUCUCCCCGAAAGCUAUUUAGGUAGCGCCUCGUGAAUUCAUCUCCGGGGGUAGAGCACUGUUUCGGCUAGGGGGCCAUCCCGGCUUACCAACCCGAUGCAAACUGCGAAUACCGGAGAAUGUUAUCACGGGAGACACACGGCGGGUGCUAACGUCCGUCGUGAAGAGGGAAACAACCCAGACCGCCAGCUAAGGUCCCAAAGUCAUGGUUAAGUGGGAAACGAUGUGGGAAGGCCCAGACAGCCAGGAUGUUGGCUUAGAAGCAGCCAUCAUUUAAAGAAAGCGUAAUAGCUCACUGGUCGAGUCGGCCUGCGCGGAAGAUGUAACGGGGCUAAACCAUGCACCGAAGCUGCGGCAGCGACGCUGAUGCGUUGUUGGGUAGGGGAGCGUUCUGUAAGCCUGUGAAGGUGGCCUGUGA
rnacentral:rRNA from 1 species